rnacentral:rRNA from 1 species
GGCGAACGCUGGCGGCGUGCUUAACACAUGCAAGUCGAACGGAAAGGCCCUGCUUUUGUGGGGUGCUCGAGUGGCGAACGGGUGAGUAACACGUGAGUAACCUGCCCUUGACUUUGGGAUAACUUCAGGAAACUGGGGCUAAUACCGGAUAGGAGCUCCUGCUGCAUGGUGGGGGUUGGAAAGUUUCGGCGGUUAGGGAUGGACUCGCGGCUUAUCAGCUUGUUGGUGGGGUAGUGGCUUACCAAGGCUUUGACGGGUAGCCGGCCUGAGAGGGUGACCGGCCACAUUGGGACUGAGAUACGGCCCAGACUCCUACGGGAGGCAGCAGUGGGGAAUAUUGCACAAUGGGCGGAAGCCUGAUGCAGCAACGCCGCGUGCGGGAUGACGGCCUUCGGGUUGUAAACCGCUUUCGCCUGUGACGAAGCGUGAGUGACGGUAAUGGGUAAAGAAGCACCGGCUAACUACGUG